AUAUUCUGUUUUCUCUUCAAAACAAAUAAAUCUUUCUCCUUUUACUAAAGAUUUCCAUGGAGAGGAACAGUUAUGAGUUGGUAACCAAAUUUUUUGAGGUAAUGCUCAGGCAAGGCU
rnacentral:snRNA from 1 species